UACAUGCAAGUCGAACGAAGUUCUGAUUAUUGAAAGGUGCUUGCAUCUUGAUUUAAUUUAGAACGAGUGGCGGACGGGUGAGUAACACGUGGGUAACCUGCCCUUAAGUGGGGGAUAACAUUUGGAAACAGAUGCUAAUACCGCAUAAAUCCAAGAACCGCAUGGUUCUUGGCUGAAAGAUGGCGUAAGCUAUCGCUUUUGGAUGGACCCGCGGCGUAUUAGCUAGUUGGUGAGGUAACGGCUCACCAAGGCAAUGAUACGUAGCCGAACUGAGAGGUUGAUCGGCCACAUUGGGACUGAGACACGGCCCAAACUCCUACGGGGGGCAGCAGUAGGGAAUCUUCCACAAUGGACGCAAGUCUGAUGGAGCAACGCCGCGUGAGUGAAGAAGGCUUUCGGGUCGUAAAACUCUGUUGUUGGAGAAGAAUGGUCGGCAGAGUAACUGUUGUCGGCGUGACGGUAUCCAACCAGAAAGCCACGGCUAACUACGUGCCAGCAGCCGCGGUAAUACGUAGGUGGCAAGCGUUAUCCGGAUUUAUUGGGCGUAAAGCGAGCGCAGGCGGUUUUUUAAGUCUGAUGUGAAAGCCCUCGGCUUAACCGAGGAAGUGCAUCGGAAACUGGGAAACUUGAGUGCAGAAGAGGACAGUGGAACUCCAUGUGUAGCGGUGAAAUGCGUAGAUAUAUGGAAGAACACCAGUGGCGAAGGCGGCUGUCUGGUCUGU
rnacentral:rRNA from 1 species